rnacentral:lncRNA from 1 species
AUCCCUGGCCUCCUCAGUGGGUUAGGGAUCCAUCAUUGCUGUGAGCUGUGGUGUAGGUUGCAGACAAGGCUCAGAUCCUGCAUUGCUGUGGCUGUGGUGUAGGCUGGCAGCUGUAGCUCCGAUUGGGCCCCUAGCCUGGGAACCUCCACAUACUGCAGGUGCAGCUCUAAAAAGCAAAAAAAUAAAAUUAAAUUAAAAAAUAAAAUACAUGGCUAAUCUCUGACGUCAUUUCCUGUGAUGGUUAGUUUAAUGUGUCAGUGUGCUGUACCACCAGGUGCCCAGAUAUUGGUCAAGCAUUAUUCUGGGUGUGUCUGUCAGGGUGUUUCUGGAUGGGAUGAACAUUUAAAUCAUAACUGACUAAAGAAGAUGGCCCUCUAAUAUGGUUUGGGCCUCAUCCAGUCCUUCUGGGGCCUAAGUCAAACAGAAAGGAUGACCCUCCUGCCAGUGAGAGGGUCCUUCUGUCUGACUGCCUCAAGCCAAGACCUUGGUCUCUUCCUGCCUUUGGAUUUGAACUGAAAUACUGGCUCCUCUUGGGUCUCGAGCCUGCUGGCUUUCAGACUGAAAACCUACAUCCUUGGCUCUCCUGGUUCUCUGGCCUUAAGACUCAGACUAAACAAAGCCAUCACCUCUCCUGGGUCUUCAGCUUGCCAACUAAAGAUUUUGGGGCUUUCAGCCUCCACAGUUGCGUGAACCAAUUCCUGUACAUCCUCUUGGUCCUGUUUCUCUGCAGAAUUCUAACACACUUUCUUCCUAAGACUUCUAGACAUCUUUCCAUUUCUGAGCUUUUUCAUACUUUAGGUCCCUGGAGACAUCAUAAGGAAAGCUCCUUUGAGAAGGAGUUUGGAUGGAUACCCCCUCAGGUGAUCGACACAGGGCAGAUGCAGCUCAGCUGUGAGAAGCCAGCUGAGGCCUGACUCUUGGCCUCUGUCCCUGUGCUCGUCCAGCAGAAGCAGCUGUGAGAUCAGGGAACACACUGCCUUGCUACCCAGCUACAGCCUGAGUGAGAUGGUCCCAUCACAGGAGCAGCAGCCUGGGGUAAACCCACCUGAAUAUUAGGUACCCACUGUUAACUCACAUUAUCCUCCUGGGGAUCUGGGGUCUGUCUGCUCAGGGUGCUGGGCACGUGGCUAAAACUGGACUUGGGGUCUAAAGCUGAGUGCUGAGGAGGG